rnacentral:rRNA from 1 species
CGAGCGAGCGGAACCAACAGAUUUACUUCGAGUAAUGACGUUGGGAAAGCGAGCGGCGGAUGGGUGAGUAACACGUGGGGAACCUGCCCCUAAGUCUGGGAUACCAUUUGGAAACAGGUGCUAAUACCGGAUAAUAAAGCAGAUCGCAUGAUCAGCUUUUGAAAGGCGGCGUAAGCUGUCGCUAAGGGAUGGCCCCGCGGUGCAUUAGCUAGUUGGUAAGGUAACGGCUUACCAAGGCGACGAUGCAUAGCCGAGUUGAGAGACUGAUCGGCCACAUUGGGACUGAGACACGGCCCAAACUCCUACGGGAGGCAGCAGUAGGGAAUCUUCCACAAUGGACGCAAGUCUGAUGGAGCAACGCCGCGUGAGUGAAGAAGGUUUUCGGAUCGUAAAGCUCUGUUGUUGGUGAAGAAGGAUAGAGGUAGUAACUGGCCUUUAUUUGACGGUAAUCAACCAGAAAGUCACGGCUAACUACGUGCCAGCAGCCGCGGUAAUACGUAGGUGGCAAGCGUUGUCCGGAUUUAUUGGGCGUAAAGCGAGCGCAGGCGGAAAAAUAAGUCUAAUGUGAAAGCCCUCGGCUUAACCGAGGAACUGCAUCGGAAACUGUUUUUCUUGAGUGCAGAAGAGGAGAGUGGAACUCCAUGUGUAGCGGUGGAAUGCGUAGAUAUAUGGAAGAACACCAGUGGCGAAGGCGGCUCUCUGGUCUGCAACUGACGCUGAGGCUCGAAAGCAUG